GGUGAGUAACGCGUGAGUAACCUGCCCUGGAGUGGGGGACAACAGUUGGAAACGACUGUUAAUACCGCAUAAGCCCACGAUCCGGCAUCGGAUUGAGGGAAAAGGAUUUAUUCGCUUCAGGAUGGACUCGCGUCCAAUUAGCUAGUUGGUGAGUUAACGGCCCACCAAGGCGACGAUUGGUAGCCGGACUGAGAGGUUGAACGGCCACAUUGGGACUGAGACACGGCCCAGACUCCUACGGGAGGCAGCAGUGGGGGAUAUUGCACAAUGGGGGAAACCCUGAUGCAGCGACGCCGCGUGGAGGAAGAAGGUUUUCGGAUUGUAAACUCCUGUCGUUAGGGACGAUAAUGACGGUACCUAACAAGAAAGCACCGGCUAACUACGUGCCAGCAGCCGCGGUAAAACGUAGGGUGCAAGCGUUGUCCGGAAUUACUGGGUGUAAAGGGAGCGCAGGCGGACCGGCAAGUUGGAAGUGAAAACUAUGGGCUCAACCCAUAAAUUGCUUUCAAAACUGCUGGCCUUGAGUAGUGCAGAGGUAGGUGGAAUUCCCGGUGUAGCGGUGGAAUGCGUAGAUAUCGGGAGGAACACCAGUGGCGAAGGCGACCUACUGGGCACCAACUGACGCUGAGGCUCGAAAGCAUGGGUAGCAAACAGGAUUAGAUACCCUGGUAGUCCAUGCCGUAAACGAUGAUUACUAGGUGUUGGAGGAUUGACCCCUUCAGUGCCGCAGUUAACACAAUAAGUAAUCCACCUGGGGA
rnacentral:rRNA from 1 species